AUGGCAACCCACUCCUGUAUUCUUGCCUGCAGAAUCCCCAUGGACAGAGAAGCCUGGUGGGCUACAGUCCACGGGUUCACAAAGGAUCGGACACCACUGAAGCAGGAUCAGACACCACUGAAGCAGCUUGGCACACUUUCCCCUCUCUGGAACCUCCGCAUGCCUCUCCAGAAGGUUCAGGAUCAGGCACAAGUAUGCCCUGGCCUGGACCUCAGUGAUUGGACAUCCCUGGGAUACACCUGGUGCAUACCUGGAGCGUACCUUCCAGGCUUCUGGCCACUAGUCCAUCUUGAUCCUGCUCAACCAGUGUCAGAAGGACAACAGGCAUCUGAAUGGAAUCACUUUUCCUGCUGAAACACAAAAUUGGGAACACGCACGGGGUGCUCACUACAGGCCAGGCCUGAUCCUCAGCACUUCACACUCAUUAUGGACUCACAACCGCCAGUGCUGCUGGCCAAGAAUGGUGCUUCCUGCCCAUCCUGUGGGUGAGGUCAUGUGACUAGUUCUAACCAAUGAGCUGUGAGUGAAACUGACACAUAUUAUUCCCAUGCUAGAGCUUAGGGACCCCAUGGACUGCAGCCUACCAGGCUCCUCCAUCCAUGGGAUUUUCCAGGCAAGAGUACUGGAGUGGGGUGCCAUUGCCUUCUCCAAAUUGCCUGUGCAGGAACUUCCAAAGCUCUUAUUUCCUUCUGGUGUGACAGCCAGAAAUGUUCCAGAAUGUGAAUGCUCCACUAAUGACUAUGAUGUGCAAAGCCUGCCCUCAAUGACCCAAAAUAGACAUAAAACAUGAGUGAGAAAUAAACUUUGUGAUUUUCAGCCA
rnacentral:lncRNA from 1 species